UACGUAGGGGGCGAGCGUUGUCCGGAGUUACUGGGCGUAAAGCGCACGCAGGCGGUCUGUUAAGUUUGGAGUAACAGUUGGUGGCUUAACUGCCAAAGUGCUUCGAAAACUGACAGACUUGAGGGCUUCAGAGGGACACGGAAUUCCGGGUGGAGUGGUGAAAUGCGUAGAGAUCCGGAGGAACACCAAAGGCGAAGGCAGUGUCCUGGGGAGUACCUGACGCUCAGGUGCGAAAGCCAGGGGAGCGAACGGG
rnacentral:rRNA from 1 species